rnacentral:rRNA from 1 species
AGAGUUUGAUUCUGGCUCAGAACGAACGCUGGCAGCGUGGAUUAGGCAUGCAAGUCGAACGAGAAGCUGUUGAUCAAUUCUUCGGAAGAGUGAUUCAGUAGAAAGUGGCGGAAGGGUGAGUAACGCGUGGGUAACCUACCCUUAAGUUGGGGACAACUCCUGGAAACGGGGGCUAAUACCGAAUGUGGUGGUCUAGCGCAUGUUAGACCUACUAAAGAUGGGGAUUCUUCGGAACCUGUCGCUUAAGGAGGGGCUCGCGUCCCAUCAGCUUGUUGGUAAGGUAACGGCUUACCAAGGCUUACGGGUAGCUGGUCUGAGAGGAUGGUCAGCCACACUGGGACUGAGACACAGCCCAGACUCCUACGGGAGGCUGCAGUCGAGGAUCAUUCGCAAUGCGCGAAAGCGUGACGAUGCGACGCUGCGUGGAGGAUGACAGCCUUCGGGUUGUAAACUCCUGUCAUGGGGAAAAACUACCCUAUGACGAAUAAUCAUAGGGCUUGAUGGUACCUCAAGAGGAAGCCACGGCUAACUCUGUGCCAGCAGCCGCGGUAAUACAGAGGUGGCGAGCGUUGUUCGGAUUUACUGGGCGUAAAGAGUGCGUAGGCGGUCCUGUGUGUCGGAUGUGAAAUCCCGAGGCUCAACCUCGGAACUGCAUCCGAAACUGCAGGACUUGAGUGCAGGAGGGGAGAGCGGAAUUCUUGGUGUAGCGGUGAAAUGCGUUGAUAUCAAGAAGAACACCGGUGGCGAAGGCGGCUCUCUGGAAUGUAACUGACGCUGAGGCACGAAAGCUGGGGGAGCAAACAGGAUUAGAUACCCUGGUAGUCCCAGCUGUAAACGUUGCACACUUGGUGUUGGGGGAAUUGACCCCCCCAGUGCCGGAGCUAACGCAUUAAGUGUGCCGCCUGGGGAGUACGGUCGCAAGAUUAAAACUCAAAGAAAUUGACGGGGGCCCGCACAAGCGGAGGAGCAUGUGGCUUAAUUCGAUGCAACGCGAAGAACCUUACCAGGGCUUGACAUGAUACUGCACGCCCGCCGAAAGGUGGGAAGCUUUCGAAGGUGUAUCACAGGUGCUGCAUGGCUGUCGUCAGUUCGUGCCGUGAGGUGUUGGGUUAAGUCCCGCAACGAACGCAACCCCUGUGGUUAGUUGCUAUCGUAGGUGAUGAGCCUACGAGCACUCUACCCAGACUGCCCGUGCAAGCGGGAGGAA